UACGUAGGGUGCGAGCGUUAAUCGGAAUUACUGGGCGUAAAGCGUGCGCAGGCGGUUUUGUAAGACAGAGGUGAAAUCCCCGGGCUCAACCUGGGAACUGCCUUUGUGACUGCAAGGCUAGAGUGCGGGAGAGGAGAAUGGAAUUCCUAGUGUAGCGGUGAAAUGCGUAGAUAUCCGGAGGAACACCAGUGGCGAAGGCAAUCCCCUGGGCCUGCACUGACGCUCAUGCACGAAAGCGUGGGGAGCAAACAGG
rnacentral:rRNA from 1 species